CCUCACACACCUAACUCGGCCCCCGUUAUGCACUUCUAUCUCUGGGGCGCUGAGAGCCGCGGUUUGGCUUCCAUCAUCGCAGGUCGAGUGGCUGCAGACAGGAAGAACCGUCCCAUCUGCUCAAGUAGUUUUGCUGCUGCUUACCGCGGAGGACCGAUGAGCCCAGGUGGCAGAGUGUCUUUGAAGCGCUGUGAGCCUGCUCAUGACUCCCCUGGCCAUCCAGGUGUUUGUGGGCUGGCCCGUAUGUCUCAGUCAGAGCAGGACCUUUUUUGUCUGAG
ensembl:lncRNA